UACAGAGGGUGCGAGCGUUGUCCGGAAUCACUGGGCGUAAAGGGCGCGUAGGUGGUGGCUUAAGCGUGCGGUGAAAGCUCGGGGCUCAACCCCGAGUCGGCCGUGCGAACUGGGCUCACUGGAGCAUAGUAGAGGCAGGUGGAAUUCCGGGUGUAGCGGUGGAAUGCGUAGAGAUCCGGAAGAACACCGGUGGCGAAGGCGGGUCUCUGGACAGUUCCUGACGCUGAGGCACGAAGGUCAGGGGAGCAAACGGG
rnacentral:rRNA from 1 species